rnacentral:rRNA from 1 species
UCCGUAGGUGAACCUGCGGAAGGAUCAUUAUUGAUUGGCCUCCGGCCUGAUUCAUAAUCCUGACACCUCUGUGAACUGUUGGCCCUCGGGCCGUUUUCAAUAUCAAACUUUUGUGUGAUUGAACGUGGAUGUAUCUUAACAAUGACAAAACUUUCAACAACGGAUCUCUUGGCUCUCGCAUCGAUGAAGGACGCAGCGAAAUGCGAUAAGUAAUGUGAAUUGCAGAAUUCAGUGAAUCAUCGAAUCUUUGAACGCACCUUGCGCCUUUUGGUAUUCCGAAAGGCAUGCCUGUUUGAGUGUCACGAAAUCUCAAUCCCCUUGGGUCUCUCGACCUGGGGUGGACUUGGACCUGGGUGUCUGCCGUCUGUCGGCUUGCCUCAAAUGACUUAGCGGGAUCAGCAUCCAUGGCCUGACGUGAUAAGUUUCGUCUGGCAUGGUGUGAGGCCUGCUCAUAACCUGCCCCUUGUGGCGCUCUUUUGGACUCUGACCUCAAAUCAGGCAGGACUACCCGCUGAACUUAAGCAUAUCAAUAAGCGGAGGAAGUCGACUGCCAAGGGGCACACAGGGGGGGAUA